rnacentral:rRNA from 1 species
AGAGGGUGCAAGCGUUAAUCGGAAUUACUGGGCGUAAAGCGCACGCAGGCGGUUGGAUAAGUUAGAUGUGAAAGCCCCGGGCUCAACCUGGGAAUUGCAUUUAAAACUGUCCAGCUAGAGUCUUGUAGAGGGGGGUAGAAUUCCAGGUGUAGCGGUGAAAUGCGUAGAGAUCUGGAGGAAUACCGGUGGCGAAGGCGGCCCCCUGGACAAAGACUGACGCUCAGGUGCGAAAGCGUGGGGAGCAAACAGGAUUAGAUACCCUGGUAGUCCACGCCGUAAACGAUGUCGAUUUGGAGGCUGUGUCCUUGAGACGUGGCUUCCGGAGCUAACGCGUUAAAUCGACCGCCUGGGGAGUACGGCCGCAAGGUUA